GAUGAACGCUAGCGGCAGGCUUAAUACAUGCAAGUCGAGGGGCAGCAUGACUGUAGCAAUACAGUUGAUGGCGACCGGCAAACGGGUGCGGAACACGUACAGAACCUUCCUUUAAGCGGGGCAUAGCCCGGGGAAACCCGGAUUAAUACGGUAUAGUAUAUUGAUAUGGCAUCAUAUUAUUAUUAAAGAUUUAUCGGUGU
rnacentral:rRNA from 1 species